rnacentral:rRNA from 1 species
UGGGGAAUAUUGGGCAAUGGGCGAAAGCCUGACCCAGCCAUGCCGCGUGAGUGAUGAAGGCCUUAGGGUUGUAAAACUCUUUCGCCGGUGAAGAUAAUGACGGUAACCGGUAAAGAAGCACCGGCUAACUCCGUGCCAGCAGCCGCGGUAAUACGGAGGGGGCAAGCGUUGUUCGGAUUUACUGGGCGUAAAGGGCGCGUAGGCGGGGUAUCAAGUUAGGGGUGAAAGCCCGGGGCUCAACCUCGGAACUGCCUUUAAAACUGAUACUCUAGAGUCCGGAAGAGGGUCGCGGAAUUCCCAGUGUAGAGGUGAAAUUCGUAGAUAUUGGGAAGAACACCGGUGGCGAAGGCGGCGACCUGGUCCGGUACUGACGCUGAGGCGCGAAAGCGUGGGGAGCAAACAGGAUUAGAUACCCCUGUAGUCC